rnacentral:rRNA from 1 species
UACGGAGGGGGCUAGCGUUGUCCGGAUUUAUUGGGCGUAAAGAGCGUGUAGGCGGCCAGGUAGGUCUGCUGUGAAAACUCGAGGCUCAACCUCGAGACGUCGGCGGAAACCAUCUGGCUAGAGUCCGGAAGAGGAGAGUGGAAUUCCUGGUGUAGCGGUGAAAUGCGCAGAUAUCAGGAAGAACACCCGUGGCGAAGGCGGCUCUCUGGGACGGUACUGACGCUGAGACGCGAAAGCGUGGGGAGCGAACAGG